rnacentral:rRNA from 1 species
AAAUUGAAGAGUUUGAUCAUGGCUCAGAUUGAACGCUGGCGGCAGGCCUAACACAUGCAAGUCGAACGGUAACAGGAAGCAGCUUGCUGCUUCGCUGACGAGUGGCGGACGGGUGAGUAAUGUCUGGGAAACUGCCUGAUGGAGGGGGAUAACUACUGGAAACGGUGGCUAAUACCGCAUAACGUCGCAAGACCAAAGAGGGGGACCUUCGGGCCUCUUGCCAUCAGAUGUGCCCAGAUGGGAUUAGCUUGUUGGUGAGGUAACGGCUCACCAAGGCGACGAUCCCUAGCUGGUCUGAGAGGAUGACCAGCCACACUGGAACUGAGACACGGUCCAGACUCCUACGGGAGGCAGCAGUGGGGAAUAUUGCACAAUGGGCGCAAGCCUGAUGCAGCCAUGCCGCGUGUAUGAAGAAGGCCUUCGGGUUGUAAAGUACUUUCAG